AUGAACGCUGGCGGCGUGCCUAAUACAUGCAAGUCGAGCGAACGGACGAGAAGCUUGCUUCUCUGAUGUUAGCGGCGGACGGGUGAGUAACACGUGGAUAACCUACCUAUAAGACUGGGAUAACUUCGGGAAACCGGAGCUAAUACCGGAUAAUAUUUUGAACCGCAUGGUUCAAAAGUGAAAGACGGUCUUGCUGUCACUUAUAGAUGGAUCCGCGCUGCAUUAGCUAGUUGGUAAGGUAACGGCUUACCAAGGCAACGAUGCAUAGCCGACCUGAGAGGGUGAUCGGCCACACUGGAACUGAGACACGGUCCAGACUCCUACGGGAGGCAGCAGUAGGGAAUCUUCCGCAAAGGGCGAAAGCCUGACGGAGCAACGCCGCGUGAGUGAUGAAGGUCUUCGGAUCGUAAAACCCUGUUAUUAGGGAAGAACAUAUGUGUAAGUAACUGUGCACAUCUUGACGGUACCUAAUCAGAAAGCCACGGCUAACUACGUG
rnacentral:rRNA from 1 species